rnacentral:pre_miRNA from 1 species
AAAACUGGUAAAUGCAGACUCUUGGAUUCCACCCCCAGAGAAUCCGUAAACCGGGGUGGAGUCCAAGAAUCUGCAUUUUAGAAAGUACCU